UCUCUGGGUGUGAACUUGUAGAAGUGGGAUGCGGAAAGUCUAUGGCCCUAAAUUGGGGGUGCUGGGGAGACCCAGAAGCGAUGACACAAGAGGAACAGAGAUACAGAUUCUGAGCUAGAGGGGAGAGAGGAACUGAGACAGAAAGAUAGUGAUGGAGAGACAGAGCAAGUGAACUGAGAGACACUGAGGAGACCACACUCUGGCAGAGAGACAGCAGCAAGAGACAGAAAAAGUAGGGUCCAUAGAAAAAUGGACAUGGAGAGGCUGACCCCUGAGACUCUAGGAAAGCAACAGGUGGGGAAAUGACUGAUGGUGAUGCAGGAGAUGGGGAGAGAAGGCUCCGAGUGAGAAAGGGACUAGACACAACCGGGAGAAGCAGGGGCCUUGGAGCAGGAAGGAAAAACCUCAACGCAGAAAGUGAGAGAUGGAGACAGAGAGAGGGACACGGACAGAAACACACACAGAGGAACAAAAGAGAGGAAGACCGAGAGACACACAAAGACGGAAGGCAGGGGAGGCUGCUAUGCGGGCGCACGGCCCCCAGGCCCUGCCAGUUACUGAUGGUCGACGCAGAUGGGAGAAACGUGGAGCCCGCACCCAGCGGACAGAUAGACCGACAAAGCCGGGAGAGGCCGGGCGGGGUCGGGGCGGGGCGGGGCGGGUGCCCGCAGGUCCAGGGCCGAUCUGGGGAAAGCAGGGGAGGGGCAGGCGGCCAGAAGGGGAAGGAAGCGGAGGUGCCGGGCGGGCGCGGGGCGCAGGCAGGAAGCGGGGAGGGGCGGCGGGGCGGGGGCCUCCGGAAAAACGCCCCAACUUCCUGCCCCGCCAGAGCCAGGAAGCGGGAGCUGGGACACCGGGCCCGGGAUCGCCGAGCCCGACCUCGGGCGCCCCGCCGGUCACCUCCCCGCGCGGACACCAGCCCUGCAGAGCCCAUGGAGGCAGAAGACGUCGCCCGAGGGGCGGCCCCGGGGCCCCCCCGACCCGGUCUGGUGCCUGUCAGCAUCAUCGGGGCGGAGGAUGAGGAUUUCGAGAAUGAGCUCAAGACGAACCCAGAGGAGCAAAGCAACCAGUUCCAGAGCCUGGAGCAGGUGAAGCAGCGGCCAGCCCACCUCAUGGCCCUCCUGCAGUAUGUGGCCAUGCAGUUCGAGCCAGGACCCCUGCUCUGCUGCCUGCACGCGGACAUGCUGGGCUCACUGGGCCCCAAGGAGGCCAAGAAGGCCUUCAUCGACUUCUACCACAGCUUCCUGGACAAGACCGCGGUUCUGCGGGUGCAGGUCCCUCCCACCGUGGCCUUUGAACUUGACCGCACCCGGCCUGAACUCAUCUCGGAGGACAUCCAGCGGCAGUUUGUGCAGGAGGUGGUGCAGAGGCAGCAGGCCCUCGUCAGCCGGCAGCUGGAGGACUUUCGCUCCAAGAAGCUCAUGGGCAUGACACCCUGGGAGCAGGAGCUGACCCAGCUAGGGGCCUGGGUUGGACGGGACCGCGCCAGCUUUGAGGCCCGGGAGCGGCACCUGGCCGAGCGGCAGCUGACCCACCUGGAGGAGAUGCAACACACCAUCUCUCCCGAUGAGGAAAAGAGUGCCGCGGUGGUCAACGCCAUCAGCCUGUACAUGCGCCACCUCGGGGUGCGGACCAAGAGCGGGGACAAGAAGUCGGGGAGAAAUUUCUUCCGGAAAAAGGUGAUAGGGAACCGGCGGUCCGAUGAGCCAACCAAGGCCAAGAAAGGACUGAGCAGCUUCCUGGAUGCCGCCCGCUGGAACCGGACAGAGCCCCAGGCUCCAGAUUUUCGACACCUCAAAGUCGAGACUGACGCUGAGAAGCCAGUCCUUACAGAACGGAAGGGAGGUCUAGGGGUGCCCUCUCGGGACCGGAAUAUCGGAGCCCCUGGGCAGGACACCCCCGGAGUUUCUCCGCACCCUCUGCCUGGGGACAGCCCUGACCGGGAACCAGGUGUUGAUGCCCUCCCUGAACUGGGGGACCCACCCCCACAGGGCCCAGUCAGCCUGGAGCCCCCAGUGGCUGCGGAGAGCACCGAGGAGGGUGCUGACACGGAGAGAAGGUGGAAGAGGCUGUCGGGGCGUCUGGGGCGCUCAGAGAGUCUGCGGGUGAGUGACCGCCGCCGGCCUUCCCGGGGCAGCCUCGGGGCUAAGGGCCGGGGUGGGGGCCGCUCCCGAAGCGACGUGGACAUGGACCCCAGCUCUGCCACGGCCGUGCUUGGCCCUGCCCGACGAGCCACCCCCGAGCCUGGAGAUGAGGGGGAGCCGGGCCGAUCGGGACUAGAGCUGGAACCAGAGGAACCGCCCGGCUGGCGGGAGCUCGUGCCCCUGGGCACACUGCACAGCCUGCCCAAGAGCCAGGUGAAGCGGCAGGAGGUCAUCAGUGAGCUACUGGUGACGGAGGCGGCCCACGUGCGCAUGCUCCGGGUGCUGCAUGACCUCUUCUACCAGCCCAUGGCGGAGGGGGGCUUCUUUCUCCUGGAGGAACUGCAGAACAUCUUCCCCAGCCUGGAAGAGCUCAUCGAGGUGCAUUCCCUGUUCCUGGAUCGCCUGAUGAAGCGGAGGCAGGACAGUGGCUACCUCAUUGAGGAGAUUGGAGAUGUGCUGUUGGCCCAGUUUGAUGGUCCCGAGGGCUCCUGGUUCCAGAAAAUCUCCUCCCGCUUCUGCAGCCGCCAGUCGUUUGCCUUAGAGCAGCUCAAAGCCAAACAGCGCAAGGAGCCUCGGUUCUGUGCCUUUGUUCAGGAGGCCGAGAGCCAGCCGCGGUGCCGCCGCCUGCAGCUGAAGGACAUGAUCCCCACGGAGAUGCAGCGUCUGACCAAGUACCCACUGCUUCUGCAGAGCAUCGGGCAGAACACAGAAGAGCCGGCGGAGCGAGAAAAAGUGGAGCAGGCGGCGGAGUGCUGCCGGGAAAUUCUGCACCAUGUCAACCAGGCCGUGCGUGACAUGGAGGACCUGCUGCGGCUCAAGGACUAUCAGAGGCGGCUGGAUUUGUCCCACCUGAAGCAGAGCAGCGACCCCAUGCUGAGCGAGUUCAAGAACCUGGACAUCACCAAAAAGAAGCUUGUCCAUGAGGGCCCCCUGACGUGGCGGGUGACGAAGGACAAAGCUGUGGAGGUCCACGUGCUGCUGCUGGACGACCUGCUAUUGCUGCUCCAGCGCCAGGACGAUCGGCUGCUGCUCAAGUCACACAGCCGGACACUGACACCCACGCCCGACGGCAAGACCAUGCUGCGGCCAGUGCUGCGGCUCACCUCUGCCAUGACCCGUGAGGUGGCCACCGAUCACAAAGCCUUCUAUGUGAUUUUUACCUGGGACCAGGAGGCCCACAUAUACGAGCUGGUGGCACAGACCGUGUCAGAGCGGAAAAACUGGUGUACCCUCAUCACUGAAACCGCAGGAUCCCUGAAGGUCCCUGCCCCCACCUCCCGCCCCAAACACCGGCCCAGCCCCAGCAGGCCUCUCUGUCUCCCCAUCUCCCAGCCUCAAUCUCUGUUUCUGUCUUGGGACCUCCCUGACUCCCCAGCUCCAGUUCUGUCUCCCUGCCCCUGCUGACCCUGGGGCCAGGGCCGUGGGGUCACCCGGCACUUGCUUCCCCCAGCAGCCGUGAACCCCUGCUCAGCAGCUCUGAGAAUGGCAACGGCGGCCGAGAGAUGCCCCCAGCUGACGGCCGGAUGGAGAGGAUCUUCACUGCCCUCCUGCCCUUCUGCAGACCAGGCCCUGAGGGCCAGCUUGCCGCCAAGGCCCUUCAGAAAGUGCUGUCCCUGAAGCAGCUCCUGUUUCCCCUGGAGGAAGACAGCAGGACGGGGCCUCCCCUCGAAGGGGAUGGGGUCCCAGGAGGCAGCCCCCUUAGCCCAGCACAGAUUCAGGAAAUUCGGGAGGAGCUACUCAACCUGGAGGAGACCAUUAAACAUCUGGAGGAGGUGGAGGAGGAGUUUUGCCGCCUGAGACUCCUCCUGUCUCAGCUCGGGGAGAACACUGUCCCCCAGCCUGGCUGUACCUGAGGCCCCUGCCCCAGGCAGGCCUUUCGCAAGGAGAGAGCGUGAGGGCUGCCCACCACUGCACAGCUGCCACAGCAUCUCCGACCCCAAGGGCCUGAGGAGGGGGGACCCAGCUGCCGGGGCCGCGCCUGGGGGGGCAUGGCUGAGAUCGCUGCCCCCCACCUCCCACCGGCCUCCCCUCCCUCCUGCUUGGGGGACUCAGGGCUUUGUUCCGGGGGACACCACCUGGCCCCAUCCCUGGGCCAUCUCAGUAUUGCCUGGGGGGCCCACCCCUCCAUCCCCACCCCCAAGUGCCUUUGCUCUGUUUUUAUACCUGGAAUUGGAGGUUUAUUUUUUAAUAUAUAUUAUCUAAGGAGA